AAAAAGGGCUUCUGUCGUGAGUGGCACACAUAGAGCAACUCUAUUGCUCUUCGUGCGGAAUCGACAUCAAGAGAUUUCAGAAGCAUAAUUUUUUGGCAUUUGGGCAGCUGGUGAUUGUUGGUCCCGGCACCCUG
ensembl:snRNA